ensembl:snRNA U6 U6 spliceosomal RNA
CACACUGUGGGAGGUGAACUCUAAAAUAUAUUAUGACCCCAUAGAAGAUUAGCAUGGCCCCUGCACAAGGAUGACACGCAAAUUCGUGAAGCGUUCCAUGUUUUU